rnacentral:rRNA from 1 species
AUUGAACGCUGGCGGCAUGCUUUACACAUGCAAGUCGAACGGCAGCGCGGGGCAACCUGGCGGCGAGUGGCGAACGGGUGAGUAAUAUAUCGGAACGUACCCAGACGUGGGGGAUAACGUAGCGAAAGUUACGCUAAUACCGCAUACGAUCUAAGGAUGAAAGUGGGGGACCUUCGGGCCUCAUGCUUGUGGAGCGGCCGAUGACUGAUUAGCUAGUUGGUGGGGGAAAGGCUCACCAAGCCGACGAUCGGUAGCUCGUCUGGGAGGACGACCCGCCACCCUGGGACUGAAACCCGGCCCAGACUCCUACGGGAGGCAGCAGUGGGGAAUUUUGGACAAUGGGCGCAAGCCUGAUCCAGCAAUGCCGCGUGAGUGAAGAAGGCCUUCGGGUUGUAAAGCUCUUUUGUCAGGGAAGAAACGGGACUGGUUAAUACCUGGUCCUAAUGACGGUACCUGAAGAAUAAGCACCGGCUAACUACGUGCCAGCCGCCGCCGUAACAC